GAUAGUUUGGCCAAGGUGGUCUAAGGCGCCAGAUUUAGGCUCUGGUCCGAAAGGGCGUGGGUUCAAAUCCCACAGCUGUCA